CCUGCGAGCCUGGGAUAACAGAGCUGGGAUUCCUGAGGUUCCAGAGCCCGGCAUUCCCAGGAUUCCAGAACCUGACACUCCUCCCACUUUUCCAGACCCUGAUAUUCCCAGAUUUCCAGGAUGUGGCUCUGGAGCCUGGCAUUCCUGGAAUUCCAGAGCCCUGGCAUUCCCAGAUUUCCAGCAGGAUGUGAUUCCUGACAUUCCUUGAAUUCCAGGGCCUGAAAUUCCUGGAAUUCCAGAAUUCUGACAUUCCCGGAUUUCCUUUCUUGUUGGAGUUUCCCUCUUUUUUGUAUCAGAUUUUCCCAAGUUUUCAGGUUGGAUUCCCUUAGGUCCGGAGUUCGAUUUUCCCUCUUUUCUGGGCUGGAAUUUCCCAAGUUUUCCCAUUGGAUUUUCCCCCCUAUUUUAAUUGGAUUUCCCCCCAUUUUUAGGUUGAAUUUCCCUCUCUUUGGGGUUUGGAUUUUCCCUCUUUUUUGGGUCAGAUUUUCCCAAGUUUUCAGGUUGGAUUCUCCCAGGUUUGGGGUUGGAUUUUCCCUCUUUUUGGAGUUUGGAUUUUCCCAAGCUUUUUGCUGGAUUUUCCCCUGGUUUAGGUCAGUUUUUCCCACUUUUUUCAGUUGGAUUUUCCCUCUUUUUUUGGGCUGGAAUUCCCAACUUUAGGUUGGAUUUUCCCUGUUUUGUGGUUGAAUUUCCCAAUUUUCCCUUUUCUUUGAGGUUUGGAUUUUCCAUCUUUCAGGCUGGAAUUUCCCUCAUUUUUAAAAUUGGGUUUUGCCUCUUUUUAGGUUGGAUUCUCCCUUUUCUAGGUCAGAUUUUCCCUCUUUUUUUGGGCUGGAAUUCCCACUUUUGGGGUUUGGAUUUUCCCUCUGGGCUUUGGAUUUUCCCAAGUUUUUUUCCUGGAUUUUCCCUCAUUUUCCGACUGGAAUUUCCCGAGUUUUCCCCCUGGAUUUUUCCCUUAUUUUGAGUUGGAUUUUCCCCAGUUUUCCCUCAGGAAUGUUUCAAAUAAAUAAAUGUGUUCCUCUCUCUGGAA